GCCGGGGUGCCCGAGCGGUUAAGGGGCUGGCCUGGAGAGCCAGUGGGCUUCGCGCCCACGCGGGUUCGAAUCCCGCCCCCGGCG
rnacentral:tRNA from 1 species